rnacentral:pre_miRNA from 1 species
UGAGAACUGAAUUCCAUAGGCUUUGAAAUGAUUUAAAAAACGCCCACUGGAUUCAGUUCUGCA